UGUGGGCUGGACCUUUUGUCCAGGAGGAUCCCAUGAGAGACCGUGUCAAAAGCUUUGCUGAAGUCCAAAAAGAUUACAUCAACUGGCUUUCCCAUAUUGGCUAGGUUUUGGAUGCUGAUGGCACCCUAAAACAGUCUGGUGUCAACAAAUGCAAAAUUGCUCUGCUUCUGCUUUGAACUAGUCUGUCAUCGUAACCUGUUGUCUCAGGCAGAGCUUCCAUCUGUGUGCCACUGGGACAGUUGCUGUCACCCUUGGAGUGAGAUGUCCGUCAUGAGCAGGGAAAGCUGGUGACUUUCACGAUACCCAAAAACCUGGAUUCGCAGCAUUUUUGAAGAUCUGACGCAAAAACUCGAGUGAAAUUACAUGUUACCAUAGAGUUUUGGACUGCAGGAAGCCGAGGCUACAAAGCUCUUCUGGACACAGCGACAGGAGCUACACCCAAACAAGCUCAGAAACCGGGAAGUGAAUGUCUGUGGGAAGUGGCUGCUCUCUUCCCCCAGCAUGUGCAGGAUAAAUACCUGCCUAGGAAAUGUCCCUCACUCACCUAAGGGCUCCUGCACUUCCUCCCAACCUCCAGACGCCCUUCCUAAGGGAUAGCAAAAUGUCCUGCAUUCCUCUCAGCUCACCAAGGGGACAGCUUGUGCACUGGGCUCUACUCCUGGGUUUUCCCAGCAGGAUCCCACACUGCCUUACAGAAGGAAAGGUGUGUUGCUCACCACCUCUCUGGGAGUGAGCCCUAGUCUCCUCAUCUAAUAAAAGCAGCCCCAUUGCUCUAUGUUGAGAAAA